CCCCUUUCAUGCAUAUUGUGUGCUCUAACAUGGAGUUGCCCCCCCUCUUUAUUUUGGUCCCACUCCACCACAGGAGCAGAGUAACUAGUAACACACAUUAAGCCACAUCAAACCAACUCAACAGAGGGUUGUGCCAAUGCGCCUUUACCACAUGAACAUGUGAUCACUAAGGUGUGUCAACUAACCUGUACUCGGUUAUCAAUUAUCUCCUGCCAGUAAUUUUGGGAUUGGUUGAACCCUUAUAGUAGUCAAAUAUUGGAAAGCUAUCUUAUCAUCAAGUAAAAAAUGUGUGAAAUGUUAACCUUUUGGUUUGCAACUAUAACCUGUUUGGGUUCAUAUAUACCCUCCAAGUAAUCUUAACCUACGUGCAAGCACUUGUCCAGCUUUUUAUCAAUGAUGAUGAUGACAUCUUUUCCUAUUAAAUUGCAGAAUGCCCAUGCUGAAAAUAAUCUUCCAGUGCAACAAGGUGGUCCUGAACCAAGUUUAUGACUUCACCAAGUCCAUAAGAAGGUAAACAUAUGCUACAUAUCUAAAUGACAAUGAUUGUACAAGAGGUUGUCUAAUUUUGUAUGUAAGUGCAAGGUAAAUGACAUUAUGAAACACUAAUCCCAUUUUGACAAGCAUGUUUCAAAUACUGUCAUGACACCAAUAGCAGAUCAUAUGUCAGAUUCAACCAAGUACUAAAAAAUUGUAUUGCAUACAACAGUAACAUGAUUUUUCCCGAUGGAACCAAAAGUUAAGUCACACACAUAUCAUUGCUGCUCCAAGAGAUCUCGUAUUCAAAGAAACUAAUUAAUCACUUUUGAAUUGAUACAUGAGUACUAAUAAAACACCAACCUUGCAUACAUGUACUUUUUGGUGGAAACCUUGCAUAGAUGUUGAGGAACACCUGUCCCUUGAAUAUUAGGUGAACUCUCUUUUUAGUGUAUAAAUUAACAUGACGUGAACUUCAUUUGUUUGCAUGUUGCAUUCACGCUUAGUUUUCACAAUAAAUAUUUUCUUAAUAAGACCUUAAUCUAAUCUGAUAGCAAAGUGUGCAGACAGAAGGUACGUGUAGAAUAAAGCUCACUUACUGCAUGUAUCAGAACUCUUCAAAACUAUCAUUCUUUAUUAUAGUUGAUCAUGUGUCUCCCUUCACAUGUAUUCCUAUUUAAUUGUAGAAUGCUCAUGCUCAAAACAGCAAUGCACCAAGCUACAUGGUCAUCACCAAGUCACUAAGCAGGUACAUAUAGGCUCGAUGUCUAAAUGACAAUGAUUGUUUAAUAGAUAGUUGAUCUAAUUAUUUUUGAAAUUGUUCUUAUUUCUGUAAAAUGAAAUCUGCUCAGGUUCAUCAAUAACAAAAUUUUCAUUUCUUGAAAAAUAGGAUAAAGUUGAAGUCGUGUUGUAUUCGAUGAACUCGAGAAACAAAGACAAACUCGUGGCCAAUGGAACCUUAGUGAGUAAAGAGAAAACAUAUGUGGUUGGAGGAAACAUGCUUGGAGUGCAAUAUAUUGCAGUACUUAUUCGCGGCUGUAUAUAUCUAGGAGAUGAGAAACUAGUUAGACCAUAUGAAAAAUUGCAAACAGUAAGGGAUGCUAUGAGUUCUUUUAUUGCUUGGCCUCGCUCAUAUGUCAGUAUGCUUCCAUUCAAGCAUUGGGUAUGCUCCAAUAUGCACAUGUGUGAUGUGUUAUUUACCUGGAAUCUUUCUUUUUUUACGUAAAAAUAGUUAAGCCAACCCCUCCUGCACAACCACAAAGCAUUGGUAGGAUACAAUUCUUAUAAUUUUAUCAAAGAAUCUCUUAUCUUACACUUCUGUAUAAACAUAUGUUCAUGCAAAUGUUGUUCAUUCUCCUUUUCAGGGCAGUGAGGAUUUGAAAAGUGAGUGCAUAAAAAAAGCUAGGAGUGGCUGGGUACUUGAGGAUUUGAAAAGGGAGCGCACUGGAGGAGUCAGGAGUAGUUGAUGAAUAUUUCUUUGAAUGAACAAAAAUUCUAAAUUAUGUAUAGAUUGUAGCUUAAUAGAGAAAAAUAGUUCCAGUCUAUAGGAUCUUUUCUUAUUUAUUUUUCAUAUGAAUGUUUGAUGUUAUUCAGCUGUGAACUCCAAAUACUUUCAGUGGAGACAUUGUUCCUGCUAAUUAAUGCAUUGGAUGUUGUUACUGAGGUUGCCAAUGUUUGCAAAUGCAAUCUAUGACAUGGAAUGAUGCCUUCG
rnacentral:lncRNA from 1 species